UACGUAGGUGGCAAGCGUUGUCCGGAAUUAUUGGGCGUAAAGCGCGCGCAGGCGGCCCUUUAAGUCUGAUGUGAAAGCCCACGGCUCAACCGUGGAGGGUCAUUGGAAACUGGGGGACUUGAGUGCAGAAGAGGAGAGUGGAAUUCCACGUGUAGCGGUGAAAUGCGUAGAGAUGUGGAGGAACACCAGUGGCGAAGGCGACUCUCUGGUCUGUAACUGACGCUGAGGCGCGAAAGCGUGGGGAGCAAACAGG
rnacentral:rRNA from 1 species